AAUUAAUUAAAAUGCGAAAGGAGGAAGGAAGAAGACGGAAGACACUGUCGCAGAGGAAGAAGAGAGAGAGAGAGAGAGAGAGAGAGAGAGAGAGAGAUCGUUUGAGGUAUGCAUCUAUGGCCAUCUUUACGGAUCCGGGACUCGUUCAAGCAAGCCUACCUCGACAAGAUCGAGCGCAACCUCCACCGCAUGCAGCAGCACAAGCAGCGGCUGCGAGGGGAGCGAUCCAGUGAUCCCCUCCUUGCCAACAGCUCCUCCGAUGGCGACGCCGGGAGCAGCUCCUCCAAAGACCGGCAGCAGCACGAGACCCUUUCGCCUCUGCGCUUCUGCAGCGACAUCCUAUUCGUUCUGUCCUGCUGUUGCUGCUGCUUCUGCUGUGGAGCUUGCAUCGACGAGAAGGAGAACCAAACUCCACAUUGAGAAGAGCAUUCAUUCAAGGAGUUUGUAAGGUAUCUAAGAAGUCGGAUGCCCGCUUUGGACUUCUAUGCUUUACGCAGUCAAUGCAAUGCUAUACUCGUUUAUAGUUUUGUAGAAUGAUUAAUACUCAGAAGUUUCCUAUUUUUCCUUGUAGUUUUAGAUAAAAUAUUCUUGUUCAUAAUUGUGCUUUUUUUUCUGCUUGGUAGAGUUCGUGUUUAUUGGGCAUGAAUUGACUAAUAAUUUUUCUUUAAUUUUCUUAAUGUUUAAGAAUUGAUUGGCUUCUUCGUUCUGUUCCAUAUCUUGGUAGGAAAUCAAGUGUUGGAUCGUCAUGCAUAUCGAUAUAAAAUAACGAUUAUACAUUUAUUCGCCCAGUUGAUCAUAAUAUAGUCAUAUCCAUUCCUUGAUACCAUAACGUGGCAGGGCCUCCGUGCAUCACGGUGGGGGCGCGUGUUAACUGGACGAAUCCGAAUCCGAAUCCGAAUCCGCCCUCACCCGUUUGAACACCAGACACGAGAUCCCAAGUCCGCGAAGUCCACGCGACGCCCAAUUAAUUGGACGAGUCUCGCCGAAUUAAUUGCGUGAGGAUAGCGCAUCUCCCGUUCGGUAGGAUUCCCUCCAACUUUUAUGGCAAGAAACUGGGACGCUUGAUAUGACGUGUCGAUCACAUCGGACCGUUUGAUGUAGAUAUUGGACCAUGAAAAAUUAGAUGACUAGUUGGAGAGGAUCCGUCAUCGUUAUCGCAAUCAUAAAUCUCGAAGUUGUUAGCCAGUGCAGUCGAUGACCGUACUCGGACGUCUCUCCCUGCAAUAAGUUGUGCACCGGGGUCAGGUUCCCCGCCUUCCUCUCUGCUGUCAGAUCUCUCAUCGCUUUCCCAUGGCGGUGGCCUCCUCCUUGCCGCCGUCAUCACUUGCGUUCUCGCUAGUUUCUGUCGUCGUCCUCCUUUCGACUGCGGAUCUCGCUUUCUCUUUGAUUCCACCGUCAAGCUCGCCCUCGCCCUCGCCGGUUCCAGGAGGUCCGCUCCGAUCGUCUCCCGCACCCUCGCCGGACUCCCCCCCCUCGCCAUCGCCAUCGCCAUCGCCGUCGCCCGAGAACCUUCUCUCUCCACUGGUGCCGGCGCUGCCACCAGAGGUGCCUUCGCCCGCCCCGACCCCAUCCGCGACGCCGUCGCCAGCACCGGUUCCGAGCCACGAGGAGAUCCAGUCCGGGGAGGUCGCCGACCAAGCGGGCCGUGACGGAGAAGGGGGAGGGAUGAGCGGGGAGAAAAAGGCGGGGAUCGCAGUGGGGGUGGUACUGGGGGUGGCGGUGCUCGCGGGCGGUUCUGUGCUGUACAAGAAGCGGCAGGACAACAUCCGGCGGUCCAGAUUGAAGACAACAACACUCUGGUCUUCAUUGUUGAUAUUCAAGAUGACAAGAAGAUGAUAAAAGCAGCUGUGUAGAAGAUGUAUGCAAAGAAAGUUAAUACUCUGAUCAGGCCCUGAUGGAACUAAGAAGGCUUAUAUUAGAUUAAUGCAUGACUACGACGCCCUCGACGUUGCAAAUAAAAUCGGCAUCAUUUAUUGCUGAGAUAAAAUUUAGCUCUUCACUUGAUCCCAGUUUUGAGGUUGUAUUUUUCACAACCUAUCAUUUACUUGGAAUGUUCUCUUGAUUUUUGC